rnacentral:rRNA from 1 species
UGAAUACGAGAUGCUACGGCGUCGAGGCAGUGUAUGUCAGACUUCCAAGAGAAGCUCGCAAUGUCAUAAAUAAAGAAUGCCUGUACCAUAACCGACACAGGUGGGUAGGUAGAGUAUACUAAGGGGCGCGAGAUAACUCUCUCUAAGGAACUCGGCAAAAUAACUCCGUAACUUCGGGAGAAGGAGUGCCUUCUUUAAGAAGGUUGCAAUAACAAGAUCCAAGCAACUGUUUAUCAAAAACACAGGUCUCCGCUAAGUCGUAAGACGAUGUAUGGGGGCUGACGCCUGCCCAGUGCCAGAAGGUUAAAGAAGUUGGUUAGCUUUUGCGAAGCUGAUGACUGAAGCCCUGGUGAACGGCGGCCGUAACAAUAACGGUCCUAAGGUAGCGAAAUUCCUUGUCGGGUAAGUUCCGACCCGCACGAAAGGCGUAAUGAUUUGGAUACUGUCUCGGAGAGGGACUCGGUGAAAUAGACUUGUCUGUGAAGAUGCGGACUACCUGCACCAGGACAGAAAGACCCUAUGAAGCUUUACUGUAACUUGAAAUUGAAAUUGGACUUUAUUUGCGCAGUAUAGGUGGAAGGCGUUGAAAGUAAUCUUGCGGGAUUAGUGGAGCCAUCAGUGAGAUACCACUCCUAUAAUGUUAGAUUUCUAACUUUGGAUCAUGAUCUGGUCAAAGAACAGUUUCAGGCGGGCAGUUUGACUGGGGCGGUCGCCUCCCAAAUGGUAACGGAGGCGUACAAAGGUUUCCUCUGAACGGGUAGAAAUCGUAUCUAGAGUGUAAAGGCAUAAGGAAGCUUGACUGUGAGACCUACAAGUCGAGCAGGGACGAAAGUCGGUCUUAGUGAUCUGACGGUGCUGAGUGGAAAGGCCGUCACUCAACGGAUAAAAGUUACUCUAAGGAUAACAGGCUGAUCUCCCCCAAGAGUUCACAUCGACGGGGAGGUUUGGCACCUCGAUGUCGGCUCAUCGCAUCCUGGGGCGGUAGUACGUCCCAAGGGUUGGGCUGUUCGCCCAUGAAAGCGGUACGCGAGCUGGGUUCAGAACGUCGUGAGACAGUUCGGUCCAUAUCCGGUGUAGGCGUUAGAAUAUUGAGAGGAGCCUUCUUUAGUACGAGAGGACCGAGAAGGACAUACCUCUGGUGUACCAGUUAUCGUGCCAACGGUAAACGCUGGGUAGCUAUGUAUGGAGAGGAUAACCGCUGAAAGCAUCUAAGUGGGAAGCCCACCUCAAGAUGAGUAUUCCC